rnacentral:lncRNA from 1 species
CCGUCAUCAGCCACCUGUGGAGGCGCAGGCCUUCCCUCCAGGUGCUGCCUCGCCACUACAAAAGCGGGCUGUGUGAUGAGACUUGUUAAGCGCAGCUUUGCGUGCUCUCUGUUCUGUUCACACUGUCUUGCAAAGUAGGUAAUAUCCUCACUUUCGCUUCCCCAGUGAGGAAACUGGGAUUCAGAGAAGUCAAAGUCACCAGCAAGGAAGUGGCCGAGUCUGAACUUGAACUCCCUGGUGGUGCCGCCAGUGCACUUUCCUCCUCCUGAGAUGUGGGUUGAUUCUGCAGCACCCACAGGCAAAAAUGGACUGUUUGGUGUUGGAGGCUGAGCAGAGGUGGGCAAAAAGGAACAGAAGGAGAGUAACUGGUGAAGAAGGAGCAAAGAGUGAGGCACAAAAUGAAGUCUCACCAUGUUGCCCAAGCUGGUCUCAAACUCUUGGCCUCCAGAAAUCCUCCAACUUCAGCCUCCCAAGGUGCUGGGAUUACAGAGGACCUCAUUCCAGUCUGCUCUUGGCCAUGCAAUGGACUAUGCUCUAUGAAUUGGCAGAUUGGCUCCCUAUGGACAGCAAGAACAGAGGCAGAUGCUGCAGCCAUCACUCCAGGGUCCAGAAAUGUGUUGUAAACUGCACAGCUUAAAGGUCUCAUCCGUAUUUUCAUCUAUGGCUUGCUUCUCCAUUUCAUUCACAAAGAUGUUGGGAGAGAUGUAAACACCCGAGUAGACUAUGCACACCACAGUCCCCCUGCUCUACCAAGCUACUUUUCUUCUGGCGAAUGGCUCAACCCCAGCUCUUAUUGCUCAUUGCCAUUUUUCUGUAAGUAUUCACAAACAAUACAAGUCAUUCAUUCUAGAUUUUCAUUAAAACAAAAAACAACACUUUAAAAUAAAAGCUUUCUACUCUCCCUAGUCUUCCAACAUCUUUCUCAUCUUCACGCUUUCUCAAAGAUUCCUGAUGGGGUAAAAUAAAACACGUGAAAGGGGUAAAGGAAUAAAAAUUGUGUGAGCAUCUUCUGUGGCCUCAGAGUCACACCAGG